rnacentral:rRNA from 1 species
CCUACGGGCGGCAGCAGUAGGGAAUUUUCGGCAAUGGUGGGAACCCUGACCGAGCAACGCCGCGUGAACGAAGAAGUUAUUCGUAAUGUAAAGUUCUUUUAACAGGGAAGAAAGAGAAAUUUGCCGGUACCUGAUGAAUAAGCUCCGGCUAACUACGGACCAGCAGCCGCGGUCAUACGUGGGGAGAGAGCGUUAUCCGGAUUUAUUGGGCGUAAAGGGUGCGUAGAUGGCAUAGUAAGUCUUUUGUAAAAAUGCUGGGCUAAACCCAGUAGGGCAAAAGAUACUGCAAAGCUAGAGUAUGACAGAGGCAAGUGGAACGACAUGUGUAGCAGUAAAAUGCGUAAAUAUAUGUAAGAACACCAGUGGCGAAGGCGGCUUGCUGGGUCGAUACUGACACUGAGGCACGAAAGCGUGGGGAGCAAACAGGAUUAGAUACCCGUGUAGUC